UUAGGUGUUUCGUUCUCAGCAAUGGUGUAGACCGCUUGAGUUGCAGGCUGCAGGGGUGUGCUCGAGUUCCCACCGACACUUAUCUUGUGAUCACUGGAAAUCUUCCAAGACAUCGGGAACAGCUGGGUGAGGCCGAAGUAACCGCAUAUUGCCAGUCGUCCCCUGUGAAUUGGUGACCACAUAUGAAGAUGCACCUCGACUCGUUGACGGCUUAGCCACUGCAUCAAAGUCUUCCCUGGACAGCCUAGUACACGCCAAAUCAGACCAAUACAGUGACACUCCUCAAAGAGUUAUCUCCCCUUGGCCAGUCGUCAACAUAUAACCAAGUGACUUUCGAGAAGUACAAAAUGUUAGUAUUCAUGUUGGAGCAAUAAAAUUUAUAAACC
rnacentral:lncRNA from 1 species